GAUGAACGCUAGCGGCAGGCCUAAUACAUGCAAGUCGAGCGGCAAGUCGAGGAGUAAUCCAAGACCUAGAGCGGCGUACGGGUGCGUAACGCGUAUGCAACCUACCUCAUACAGGGGGAUAGCCCGGAGAAAUCUGGAUUAAUACCCCAUGGCACAGCACAAAGGCAUCUGCGAGCUGUUAAAGAUUCAUCGGUAUGAGAUGGGCAUGCGUCUGAUUAGCUAGUUGGCGGUGUAACGGACCACCAAGGCGACGAUCAGUAGGGGUUCUGAGAGGAAGGUCCCCCACACUGGCACUGAGAUACGGGCCAGACUCCUACGGGAGGCAGCAGUAGGGAAUAUUGGGCAAUGGACGAGAGUCUGACCCAGCCAUGCCGCGUGCAGGAAGACGGCGUUAUGCGUUGUAAACUGCUUUUAUCUGGGAAGAAAAAGUCCAUGCGUGGAAAAUUGCCGGUACCAGAUGAAUAAGCACCGGCUAACUCC
rnacentral:rRNA from 1 species